AAUUUACCCCUUUUCGGGCCCCACCGUAGGGAUUUUGACCAAAAAUUCAUCUGAAAUUUCAAAUGCCCCAUUUAUGUCUAGGGCUCCCAUCUCGGGCUUAGCAUUGAUAGACGGAUUAUUUACUUAGUUCGCUAUUUUAUCAUUUUUUUUAGAUCCUUGUGGGGCAAUCAGAUUGAAGAAUUACCUGUCAUUAUCUUUCAGAACGUACCUGUAACAUUCUCUUUGGAUUUGUCUAAGAAUAAGCUAACUUCCAUACCAGAUAACGCGUUUUCUGCGUGCAAGAAUUUAACACAGUUGAUGCUCAGCUUUAAUUUAAUCUCCCAAAUCAACAAUCGCACCUUUGCUGGGCUCAAGAAUCUACGGAUACUGUAAGUGACUGUUGAUUUUGUCAACUGGUACUUAAUAACGAAGAAAACUUUUUAGUUACUUUGCAAUUUUUGUGAAUUCUUUUAUCGUUUCGAUUCUUCAAGCCAAGUGAUAAAAUGAAUUGAUCACUCACCUUGGCACCAAAAUAUAGUCGA